CUUUUGGUUCAAUUUUGUUGGUUUUCUGGACUGAAGUAAUGAUUAAUAGGGUCAGUUGGGGACAUUAGUAUUUAAUUGUCAGAGGUGAAAUUCUUAGAUUUAUGAAAGACUAACUUCUGCGAAAGCAUUUGUCAAGGAUGUUUUCAUUAAUCAAGAACGAAAGUUAGGGGAUCGAAGACGAUCAGAUACCGUCGUAGUCUUAACCAUAAACUAUGCCGACUAGGGAUCGGACGAUGUUCUUUUAUCGACUCGUUCGGCACCUUAUGAGAAAUCAAAGUUUUUGGGUUCCGGGGGGAGUAUGGUCGCAAGGCUGAAACUUAAAGGAAUUGACGGAAGGGCACCACCAGGAGUGGAGCCUGCGGCUUAAUUUGACUCAACACGGGGAAACUC
rnacentral:rRNA from 1 species